rnacentral:snRNA from 1 species
UGCGGAACGGAGCAAUCC